rnacentral:rRNA from 1 species
CGGGGUGAGUAAUGCUUGGGAAUCUAGCUUAUGGAGGGGGAUAACUACGGGAAACUGUAGCUAGUACCGCGUAAUAUCGAAAGAUUAAAGUGUGGGACCUUCGGGCCACAUGCCAUAGGAUGAGCCCAAGUGGGAUUAGGUAGUUGGUGAGGUAAAGGCUCACCAAGCCGACGAUCUCUAGCUGGUCUGAGAGGAUGACCAGCCACACUGGGACUGAGACACGGCUCAG